UACAGAGGGUGCGAGCGUUGUUCGGAAUUAUUGGGCGUAAAGGGCGCGUAGGCGGUGCGGUAAGUCACCUGUGAAAUCUCCUGGCUCAACUGGGAGCUUGCAGGCGAAACUGCCGUGCUGGAGUGUGGGAGAGGUGAGUGGAAUUCCCGGUGUAGCGGUGAAAUGCGUAGAUAUCUGGAGGAACACCGGUGGCGAAGGCGGCAUCCUGGACCAACACUGACGCUGAGGCGCGAAAGCCAGGGGAGCGAACGGG
rnacentral:rRNA from 1 species